rnacentral:rRNA from 1 species
GGCCUUCGGGCGCUGACGAGUGGCGGACGGGUGAGGAAUGCGUAGGAAUCUACCCAGUAGCGGGGGACAACUUAGGGAAACUUAAGCUAAUACCGCAUGAGCCCGAGAGGGGAAAGCAGCAAUGCGCCGAAGGAUGAGCCCGCGUCGGAUUAGCUAGUUGGUGGGGUAAUGGCCCACCAAGGCGAUGAUCCGUAGCUGGUCUGAGAGGAUGAUCAGCCACACUGGGACUGAGACACGGCCCAGACUCCUACGGGAGGCAGCAGUGGGGAAUAUUGGACAAUGGGGGAAACCCUGAUCCAGCCAUGCCGCGUGAGUGAUGAAGGACUUAGGGUUGUAAAGCUCUUUCGACGGGGACGAUGAUGACGGUACCCGUAGAAGAAGCCCCGGCUAACUUCGUGCCAGCAGCCGCGGUAAUACGAAGGGGGCUAGCGUUGUCCGGAAUUACUGGGCGUAAAGCGCGCGUAGGCGGCUACACAAGUCGGGCGUGAAAGCCCGGGGCUUAACCCCGGAAAUGCGCCCGAGACUGUGUGGCUUGAGACCGGGAGAGGAGAGUGGAAUUCCCAGUGUAGAGGUGAAAUUCGUAGAUAUUGGGAAGAACACCGGUGGCGAAGGCGGCUCUCUGGUCCGGUUCUGACGCUGAGGCGCGAAAGCGUGGGGAGCAAACAGGAUUAGAUACCCUGGUAGUCCACGCCGUAAACGAUGAGUGCCAGACGUCGGGGGGCUCGCCCUUCGGUGUCGACGCUAACGCAUUAAGCACUCCGCCUGGGGAGUACGG